CAUAAGUAGUUGCUUCUUGCUGUAAAUAUGGACAGAUAGUGAUUUUAUGUUGUUUUUAGGUGGGCAUUUUGUGAAGAAAAUGAUGUCCACAAAAGACCUACAUACAUUA
rfam:Helianthus annuus linkage group 11, whole genome shotgun sequence.